rnacentral:misc_RNA from 1 species
UGCACAGUGGAGAUCUGAACUCAGACUUGAAAUUGGAGAGCAAUAUAAAUAAGAAAUUUAACAAGGAAGAGCACUAACCCUCUAUUUUUGGAAUCCUAUUUGUGUCGGUUAAUCAAUUUAUUAUGAGAACAUCAAAUAAAUCUAAAUGCCGAAUACAUUCAAAUAAAUCUAAAUGCCCUGUUUAUUGUAUUCGUACUUUGCCUGAUAACGAGAAAGAUGGAAAAGGUAGGAGGAAAUGAGGAGGAGAAAAUCUCCCUACUCAUUUCACUUUUACAGUUUUACCAUGCUUUCAUAGGAGGGGAAGAGGCAGUGAAAAGGUCUUUCACAUUUAAACUUUAAAGUAGAAAAACGGAAGAAUGAAAAAUAUGGAGAAGCAUUUCCACUUGUCCAUAUACUGUUAUCAAUGAGAUCUGAAAGAAAAGUGGAAAUUUUUGCAUCACAAUACUGACAUUUUUCUACAUUAGAUUACUCAACUAAUAAUCACAAUCUAGUUAAAGUCGGCUAUAUGGAUCAUUUUCAUCCAGUGUAAUUAGUUCAAGACAACACCUAUAGAAAGCUUUGGAGCAGCUAAAUUCUUUUUCUAGAUGCCAUUCUAGGUCUUACCUCUCAUUUUCAAUCAUGUUUUCUUUUAACUUUUUCAUACCUCUUUAAAGCAUAUUGUUGAAGACUAAUUCUUUUUUCCCACCUUCCCAUUCCUUUCCUUUUUAUUAAACCUUUCCAUUCAUUAUUAAUAUUUUGUUACUCUGAAUUAGCUCAUAUUUGAAGCACACGUUAUCAGUGCAUGCAUGGAAAUAAAAGGGUGUAAG